AGUGAACGCUGGCGAUAGGCCUAACACAUGCAAGUCGAACGGCAGCACAGUAAUAGCUUGCUCUUACGUGUGGCGAGUGGCGUACGGGUGAGGAAUACAUCGGAAUCUACUUUUUCGUUGUGGAUAACGUAGGGAAACUUACUCUAAUACCUCAUACGACCUACGGGUGUAAUCAGUGUAUCUUCGGACCUUGCGCUAUUUAAUUAGCCGAUGUCGGAUUAGCUAGUUGGCUUGGUAAAGGCCCAACAAGGCGACGAUCCGUAGCUGGUCUGAGAGGAUGAUCAGAGAAAGUGGAAGUGAGACACGGUCAAGAAGACUACGGGAGGAAGCAGUGGGGAAUAUUGGACAAUGGGCGAAAGAAGGAUACAGAAAUACCGCGUGGGUGAAGAAGGAGUUAGGGUUGUAAAGCACGUUUGUUGGGAAAGAAAAGAAGCAGGUGAAUACCCCGCUGUACUGACGGUACCCAAAGAAUAAGCACCGGCUAACUUCGUG
rnacentral:rRNA from 1 species